GUCCCCGUAGAUUAGUGGUUAGAUCAUCACGUUGUGGCGAUUCAGCAUAUCCGUGGAGACCCAGGCUCGACUCCUGGCAGGGACA
rnacentral:tRNA from 1 species